rnacentral:rRNA from 1 species
UACGUAGGGUGCAAGCGUUGUCCGGAAUUAUUGGGCGUAAAGAGCUCGUAGGCGGUUUGUCGCGUCUGCUGUGAAAACGCGAGGCUCAACCUCGCGCCUGCAGUGGGUACGGGCAGACUAGAGUGCGGUAGGGGAGAUUGGAAUUCCUGGUGUAGCGGUGGAAUGCGCAGAUAUCAGGAGGAACACCAAUGGCGAAGGCAGCACUCUGGGACGGUACUGACGCUGAGACGCGAAAGCGUGGGGAGCAAACAGG